AGCAUCCUAACGCUCAUAAGAAAAAGCAGAUUCCUAGUAAUGAAGUUGCUUAUCCUUUUCCAAAUUAGAAGAUGCAGGACUUAGCUCCUUAAUUAAUGCAGUAGAGCUAUGACAUCAAGUAUAUGUUGAUCCAACUGGACGUAGACUAUUUGGGGACCAAGUGGAAAGCCUAUCUUCCUGCCAACACUUACCAACUCCACAGGAAAGGCAGCAGGAGAAAAGCCGGCUUGGGCAGCAUCCACUGGAGUGCAGACUGAUGCAUUAGCUUCCAAACAUCUUUGCCUUCAGCCAGUUGGGCAAGAGACAUGGCACUGGGGUGUUAGAGCAUCAGGCAUACCUCCGUUCUGGCAAUCCUGAUGCAGAGACAGCUGUAUCCUGUAGAGGGAGAGAGAAUCGGAUUUAUAAUUUCUCUGGACACUCCAGCAAGAUUUGUCACAGCUUGUCUGUCAAGGCCCUUAGAUUUCUCAUAGGUUAAAAAUGGGCAAGACUACUUGUAUUUACUUUUGUGAAGAAUUUGGAGAUGUACAGACAGAAAGCAUCAGGCGGGCACUAAGUACGCUUUUUUGAAAUAAAGCACCAAUCAGUUAGAAAUAUUGAAAAGCUAUACAAAUGAGACUACUUGACAGCAACUUUUGAAUGUGCAUAAAUUUAGACACCUUUGCAGCCAUGGUGCAAGGUGUCAAUGCAUUUAGCAUUUUAACACGUAUUUCUUUUUGCUGCAAUUCAGACAAAUUGAUUGGUCUGCGUGAUUAGGGAAAGUUUCUGUGUUGAUCACUGGACCUGACAGGUAAUCCUUGCCUUAAGGACUUGUCUGCAUUAGACUCUUUUCAUCUUAAAAUUUCCUACAUUUAUUUCUGUCGGUGAAACCCAUGAAUUUUGUGAGAGUAGGGUGGGACCUUUUAGGGUACAUUCCGGGCAUGAUUAGCAACGUUGGCCUGACUCUGCACGGCCGUGCAACCUGCGCAUUGUCAGUCUGUUGUCUGUUGCAGUGGCUAAACAACGUGCAGGUAAUGUAGAAUCAAGAACUUUACGGUUUGCACUUAUGUGGCAUUUGGCCUCAUCUUUACUCACUAAACAGCUGUCAUCCUGACAGGGUUUUAUUGUUAUGAUUUUUAAGGAAUGGAGCAAACCCAUGUGGUUAAUGCAUACUCUUCAGGGUCAGUUCUCAAUCGUCUUUCAGAUGACAGUAUUCCUUCCUCCCUGGCCUCUCAGCUGAAGCAGCUAGUGCCUUUUCAGCUUGAAUUGCUGAUACAUGAGACUCUUCAAACGGGACUGCAAAUUAGAGGGUGAGACCACUGCUGACAGAUGUGAUCUGUAAGGCUCUGUGCUAACUGAUACUCUCUGUGUGCUAUGUAAGUCUGUGGACACUUGUCGGUAUUAAAACUGGAAACUGAGCAGCUUAACGCUGUUGUGAAGAGAGCACUGCACAUUAACAGUUCAUCUAAGGUAAUUUUCUCUCCCGCCCUGCUGCAAAACAGUCCCUAAAAAAUUUGAUACACAGUUCAGACUGUCAGUUCACAAGAUUAUGAAUGUGUUCAAACUGCAAAGUGUCAUCGGGAUGAAAAGAAGCUGAGUAUUUUCCAUCAGAAAGCAUUUGGUCUAAGCAUAACAUCAAGCUUUUACAACUUUCUUUAUCCAAGCUCUCAUCCAGAUGUAACAACCAUUCAUUGAUCCUUGCAAAACUCCUGGGAGAAAAUUCUGUGUAACGUAUCUCAAAUCAAUGGAACUGCAUCCUCUUUUUUAAAGCAAAUUAAAGCAUGCUUUGAAACAUUUUCCUCGAGGUAUUUACAACCCUGACACCAUAGCAGAUUUAGUUCUGGCAAGACAGAAGGAGCAAGCCACCAGGGACAAAAGAAAGAUAUUUAAUCUUUCUUAUAAAAGCAAAAAAGUAAACAAACCGCAGAGUUGGCAAAGGAUAAAUAUGAAGAUUAAAAAUCACUGGAGGGGAAAUUCUUCCUCCCCGCUAUCCUUCUGAAUGUCAGUGUCUCUCAGUGUGACUUAGCCGUGCUGAGGCUAGACAGCAAAGCAAAGGCCAGCACCAGCACGGGCUCCCAGCUCUCCCUUUCAGCCACUGACAAUGACUGCCACACUGUGCAAGCGACAACUUGGAGGGGGCGGCAGCGAGGGAAAGUGCAAACAUGCUGGAAUUCCUCAGCUAACUGCGAUUGACAACAGCGGCCAGAAAGAGCUCCUUCAAGACAUGCCUUAACCCCACUUGGUCACCGUUCUCUGCACUGCCUGGCUUUAACCACUGCGUGCCUGGGUUCUCCCAGCAGGAAGCCAGUCAUACACCGGCUCACCCUCCUGCGAUGGCAAUGCUGCCUGCAGGACUGUGCCUUUCCUCAGUCAGGACCUAGCAGAUGCACUUUCUGCUGCGGAGAGGGCAGAUGCGAGGGAGGAUGCCUGCCCAGGGCAUGGUGCGCAUGGAUCCAGAGUUGUUUAAACUUCAUAGGAUCACUGAGACAUGGAAUUUUCUCACUACAGCCCCGAAAGAAAGGUGAACUGCAUUGUUAAAUAAUUUGUACAAUGUCACUGAGGACUGCCCGACUUCUUGUCCUCACUGUCUGAGCUGGGGUAGGAGGUUGCUGCUGCCAGAUUACCCCUGGCCAUCUGCCCCACAGUCCUUGCUAGAAUCUGCAAGGUAACUUAAAGUAUAGCUACUGCCUAAUCCUUUGCUGUCAAAAUCAUCCACUUUAACUAAAGUCAAAUUUUUCUUGCUUGCUUGUGUGCCCUCUCUCUCUCUCUCUUUCAUUGGACAGCUGGAGCAAAUACAUGCUAUCCCAGCAGAUGGAAAGGGAAAGAGAUCUUUUGUGGAUGGGAUAAAAAGAAACCAAAGGACAGUGAGCUCUUUACCUGGUUCAGCUGCAACCCUCAGCUCUUUGAAAAUUGGUACCAGAGUUAGGAAUGCUCUUCAGAAAGGAUGACUCUCCUCAUUGUCCCCCUCAUAGACCACACUGCAGAGCUUUUCCCAGAACUCAUUUCUGGGAAGCACAUGAUGCUGAAGACCUGUUGGAUCACGCAGCCAAAGCAAAGGCGAUAUGUUGUGGAUUCAUCCCGUCAUCAAGUGCAUUACAAAGCAAACCAAUUAAAGGUCACAUCUGUUAGUCACAAAUCUUGUGGUUUGGCUCUUAUUGAACAGCAGGCUGUGUGAGAGCAGGACGUGUGUGUGCUCAGGGCUGUCUUCCUAUAGAGUGUGCUGCAGAGAGGAUGUGUG